CUCGACAAAGGCAAACCCCGGGCAACCGGGGGGCGCAAAGCCAAGGGACCCGACGCGUUCGGUCCGCCUGGCUGCCGAAG
rnacentral:ncRNA from 1 species